ensembl:snoRNA
UGGAUCGAUGAUGAUGGCUGGUGGCGUAUGAAUCAUGCAUAUAGGAGUGAUGAAUCACUGACCUCUAC